rnacentral:rRNA from 1 species
AGAGUUUGAUCCUGGCUCUGGAUGAACGCUAGCUACAGGCUUAACACAUGCAAGUCGAGGGGCAGCAUGGUCUUAGCUUGCUAAGGCCGAUGGCGACCGGCGCACGGGUGAGUAACACGUAUCCAACCUGCCGUCUACUCUUGGACAGCCUUCUGAAAGGAAGAUUAAUACAAGAUGGCAUCAUGAGUCCGCAUGUUCACAUGAUUAAAGGUAUUCCGGUAGACGAUGGGGAUGCGUUCCAUUAGAUAGUAGGCGGGGUAACGGCCCACCUAGUCUUCGAUGGAUAGGGGUUCUGAGAGGAAGGUCCCCCACAUUGGAACUGAGACACGGUCCAAACUCCUACGGGAGGCAGCAGUGAGGAAUAUUGGUCAAUGGGCGAGAGCCUGAACCAGCCAAGUAGCGUGAAGGAUGACUGCCCUAUGGGUUGUAAACUUCUUUUAUAAAGGAAUAAAGUCGGGUAUGCAUACCCGUUUGCAUGUACUUUAUGAAUAAGGAUCGGCUAACUCCGUGCCAGCAGCCGCGGUAAUACGGAGGAUCCGAGCGUUAUCCGGAUUUAUUGGGUUUAAAGGGAGCGUAGAUGGAUGUUUAAGUCAGUUGUGAAAGUUUGCGGCUCAACCGUAAAAUUGCAGUUGAUACUGGAUAUCUUGAGUGCAGUUGAGGCAGGCGGAAUUCGUGGUGUAGCGGUGAAAUGCUUAGAUAUCACGAAGAACUCCGAUUGCGAAGGCAGCCUGCUAAGCUGCAACUGACAUUGAGGCUCGAAAGUGUGGGUAUCAAACAGGAUUAGAUACCCUGGUAGUCCACACGGUAAACGAUGAAUACUCGCUGUUUGCGAUAUACAGCAAGCGGCCAAGCGAAAGCGUUAAGUAUUCCACCUGGGGAGUACGCCGGCAACGGUGAAACUCAAAGGAAUUGACGGGGGCCCGCACAAGCGGAGGAACAUGUGGUUUAAUUCGAUGAUACGCGAGGAACCUUACCCGGGCUUAAAUUGCAGAUGAAUUACGGUGAAAGCCGUAAGCCGCAAGGCAUCUGUGAAGGUGCUGCAUGGUUGUCGUCAGCUCGUGCCGUGAGGUGUCGGCUUAAGUGCCAUAACGAGCGCAACCCUUGUUGUCAGUUACUAACAGGUUCCGCUGAGGACUCUGACAAGACUGCCAUCGUAAGAUGUGAGGAAGGUGGGGAUGACGUCAAAUCAGCACGGCCCUUACGUCCGGGGCCACACACGUGUUACAAUGGGGGGUACAGAGGGCCGCUACCACGCGAGUGGAUGCCAAUCCCAAAAACCUCUCUCAGUUCGGACUGGAGUCUGCAACCCGACUCCACGAAGCUGGAUUCGCUAGUAAUCGCGCAUCAGCCACGGCGCGGUGAAUACGUUCCCGGGCCUUGUACACACCGCCCGUCAAGCCAUGGGAGCCGGGGGUACCUGAAGUGCGUAACCGCGAGGAGCGCCCUAGGGUAAAACUGGUGACUGGGGCUAAGUCGUAACAAGGUA